rnacentral:rRNA from 1 species
UACGUAGGUGGCAAGCGUUGUCCGGAUUUACUGGGCGUAAAGAGCGCGCAGGCGGUCGAUUUAGUCGCGUGUGAAAGCCCCCGGCUCAACUGGGGAGGGUCACGCGAUACUGAUCGACUCGAAGGCAGGAGAGGGUAGUGGAAUUCCCGGUGUAGUGGUGAAAUGCGUAGAUAUCAGGAGGAACACCGGCGGCGAAGGCGGCUUCCUGGACCGACACUGACGCUGAGACGCGAAAGCGUGGGGAGCAAACAGG